AGUCGAGCGGCAGCACAGAGAAACUUGUUUCUCGGGUGGCGAGCGGCGGACGGGUGAGUAAUGCCUGGGAAAUUGCCCUGACGUGGGGGAUAACCAUUGGAAACGAUGGCUAAUACCGCAUGAUAGCUUCGGCUCAAAGAGGGGGACCUUCGGGCCUCUCGCGUCAGGAUAUGCCCAGGUGGGAUUAGCUAGUUGGUGAGGUAAUGGCUCACCAAGGCGACGAUCCCUAGCUGGUCUGAGAGGAUGAUCAGCCACACUGGAACUGAGACACGGUCCAGACUCCUACGGGAGGCAGCAGUGGGGAAUAUUGCACAAUGGGCGCAAGCCUGAUGCAGCCAUGCCGCGUGUGUGAAGAAGGCCUUCGGGUUGUAAAGCACUUUCAGUCGUGAGGAAGGUGGUGUUGUUAAUAGCAGCAUCAUUUGACGUUAGCGACAGAAGAAGCACCGGCUAACUCCGUGCCAGCAGCCGCGGUAAUACGGAGGGUGCGAGCGUUAAUCGGAAUUACUGGGCGUAAAGCGCAUGCAGGUGGUUUGUUAAGUCAGAUGUGAAAGCCCGGGGCUCAACCUCGGAAUAGCAUUUGAAACUGGCAAGCUAGAGUACUGUAGAGGGGGGUAGAAUUUCAGGUGUAGCGGUGAAAUGCGUAGAGAUCUGAAAGGAAUACCGGUGGCGAAUGCGGCCCCCUGGACAGAUACUGACACUCAGAUGCGAAAGCGUGGGGAGC
rnacentral:rRNA from 1 species